rnacentral:rRNA from 1 species
UACGGGGGUAAGGCCAGUGUUGGUGAUUCACUGGGCGUAAAGGGUGCGUAGGUGGUGAGGUAAGUCGGAUGUGAAAUCUCCGGGCUCAACCCGGAAACUGCAUUGGAAACUACCUUGCUUGAGGGUUUGAGGGGGGACUGGAAUUCUCGGUGUAGCAGUGAAAUGCGUAGAUAUCUGGAGGAACACCGGUGGCGAAGGCGGUUCUCUGUACUCUAAUG